GAAGAGUCUGUUUCUGGAGAUUCCUCCCUGGUGAAGUUUUCCCCUGUGAUCCUAGAUGCUUCUGAGGCAGCCUCAAAAUGAUCAGACUUAAGAGAGGAGGAAGAAUGGAAAGAAAGGGAAGAAUCAUCUACAUCUACACAGCCAAAGUGUUUGAAGCAAAGCUGACUUGGAUUAAAUAAAUACAUAUCUAAAAAUUGA